rnacentral:rRNA from 1 species
AGCUCCAAUAGCGUAUAUUAAAGUUGCUGCAGUUAAAAAGCUCGUAGUUGCAUUUCCGAGGCAAGGGAUUAGUCCGACCUUUGGUGGGUAUUUAAUCCUCUUGCCUCGUCCUUGAGUGGUGCUUCUUGGUAUUAAGUUAUCGAGGAGAUAGCCGCUCAUCGUUUACUGUGAGAAAAUUAGAGUGUUCAAAGCAGGCUUAUGCCGUUGAAUAUAUUAGCAUGGAAUAAUAAGAUAGGACCUCGGUACUAUGUGGUUGGUUUGAGAACCAAGGUAAUGAUGAAUAGGGACAGUUGGGGGUAUUCGUAUUCAGUUGUCAGAGGUGAAAUUCUUAGAUUUACGGAAGACGAACUACUGCGAAAGCAUUUACCAAGGAUGUUUUCA